AAGUAAGGCUCUGAGCACAGAGCCAGCUGUGUCUGCCGGUGGUCAACAUUACGCACUCAGAUUUAUGUGGAAUUUAUUCCUAAUGAAACUGGGCCUUUGGGCAAGACUGCACCUCCAUGGUGCUCACACAGAAGAUGCACACAGACCCAGUGCUUGUCCUGCCUCCUCUGACAUCCUAGGGGUCAGUGCUGCCUUCUUUGACCCUCUACCCUGGCAAGCUGGAUGGGGAACUCUGAGAAAUCUGUCUGUGCAGAGUGUUCAUCGGCCAGUAAGACCCCUUUAGGAUGAAACCUGGCAUUUCUUCCAAAAGGCCUCCCAACCUUUUCCAGAACAGAGAAUGGAAGAGAGUACUUCUGAGUUAAACUCAAGACUACUAUAAAGUAACAAGUUAGUACUAAGGAAAUUCGUUUCUGCAACUGACUCACUUUUUCCUUGCUUUGGUUCUCCUGGAAGAGUUACUGGGAAUCCCUAAAUAACUUCGGCCAAGCCCAAAACCAUAAGUGAAAUGGAAUGCAAGUCACUAAUCUUAGAACCACUCCUAACUUUACUAUGUUUAAUUAGUUUAUCACCUAAAACACUAAUGGUAUGUUCACAGACCUUGGGCCUCUACCUUCCCCAAUAGAUUCAUACGUUUUUAUGCUUUUGGAUUGAGGCAUUAGGAGGCCACAUCAUAUC
rnacentral:lncRNA from 1 species